CCAAGGAGUCUAGACUGUGCGCGAGUCAAAGGGCUGGCUAAACCCCAAGGCGAAACGAAAGUGAAAAAGAUGUCAAUCUUUGAUCUUCAUCGGGCCGAUCCGGUUCGUCGCGGAUGGCGGGGGACUUUUCGCUCCCGUUCUUCCCUUCGAUUCGUCACGGUAACACGUGGACGGCGCAGGCCCGGGGCCCGCUUUUGCUUCCUCCGCCGUCGUUAAGGCUCGGGAGUCGUCGUUCCGGUCGAGAGGUUGGCGCUGCGGCGGGAGGGAUUCGCGUCCUUUCCGUUCGCUCGCUAGCCCCCACGAUAGGGACCUUCUCCCCGCUGGCGGCGGACGAGCGGCGGGUUCUCCGAGCGCACAAUCUGGUACCCGAAAGAUGGUGAUCUAUGCCUGGCGAGGAUGAAGCCAGAGGAAACUCUGGUGGAAGUCC
rnacentral:rRNA from 1 species